UACAGAGACUGCAAGCGUUAUUCGGAUUCACUGGGCGUAAAGGGUGCGCAGGCGGCCAUGUGUGUCAGGUGUGAAAGCCCGGGGCUUAACCCCGGAAUUGCGCCUGAAACUACAUGGCUAGAGCAUUGGAGAGGGUAGCGGAAUUCACGGUGUAGCAGUGAAAUGCGUAGAUAUCGUGAGGAACACCAGAGGCGAAGGCGGCUACCUGGACAAUUGCUGACGCUCAGGCACGAAAGCGUGGGGAGCGAACAGG
rnacentral:rRNA from 1 species